UUAAAUAUCAGAGAGGAGUUGCUUGAGAUUUGUACUUUGCCACGGAUCACAGGUCGCCACAUUGCAAGCGCGAUCAAAGAUGUGCUGAGUCAUCUAAGCAUAGAGAUUGCUGACUGUCGAGGCCAGGGGUACGAUGGCGCCAGCAAUAUGAGCAGCGAAAAUGUUGGCGUUCAAGCUUUGAUAAAAAAGGAUGCGCCUAAGGCAGUUUAUAUGCACUGCAAUGGGCAUUGCUUGAACCUUGUCAUUGCACGCUCUUGUGCUCUUCCAGUUGUGCGCAACAUGAUUGAUAAGAUGAAGUACAUCGUCAUGUUCUUCACCUGCAGCCCGAAGAGGGAACACCUUCUCAAGGAGGUUGUAGAUAAGGAGGCACAUUCUACCGGAAAGAGGAAGCCCCUGAUUGACCUCAGCCGCACAAGAUGGGCAGCACGGCAUGAUGCCUACAGUCACUUCUACAGUGCCUUUGUCUUCAUUAUUAAGGCUCUGGAAGUCAUGGCACAGGGUCUCCAUACAGAGGAGUACAGUGAAGAUGUCACCAGUGGAUGGGAGGGCAAGUACAAAGCAGAGGCCUAUGGUCUCUUGAGUGGGCUACAAAACUUUGGAUUCAUCCUCACAUUCCUCACCGUAUACCAAGUUUUAUCCCACCUGGCGGGCAUCACGGUGAAACUGCAAAGCACCUCACUCGACAUCAUCGAGGCAUUUAGCAUGGUUGAUGAGGUGAAGUCUGUCUACAAGGAGCUCCGCGAGACCAUCGACGACGACUUCAAUCAAAUCUACGAACAAGCAGUUAGGAUGGCUGCUCAGGUCAACGUGGAACCAACCCAGCCGAGAGCAGCUGGAAGGCAGAAACACAGGGAAAAUGUACCCGCUGAAGGAGUGAAGGAGUACUAUCUCCGGAACAUGACGAUACCCUUCUUAGACCAUGUCAUUUCAGAGUUUGAGUCCAGAUUUAGUCCCCUCUCUGUGACCGCAUCAAGGCUCAUGGGCCUAAUUCCAUCUGUCCAGUGCAACUCAGAUGUAACGGUGGACAUCUCUGAAGCAGUCGCUCUGUACCAAGAUGACUUGCCAUCACCAGAGGUCAUUGACCAGGAGCUGAAACGGUGGAAGUUGAAGUGGCAGGUCAAAGCAUUACACCAAAGACCAAGCUCAUGUGCCUCAGCUAUCAAAGAGUGUGAUGAGAUGAUGUAUCCGAACAUCUUCAAACUCCUGAAAAUUGCAUGCACCUUGCCAGUGACCUCCUGCGAAUGUGAGAGGUCUGCCAGUGUUCUCCGGAGACUCAACACAUUCAUGCGGAGCAGCAUGGGAGAGGACCGCAUGUCAUCCUUGGCUCUCAUCCAUACCCACUACGACAUGGCUCUGGAUCUGGAUGAAGCUGUCGAUCUAUACUCAAAAAUGCACCCAAGACGAUUGGAGCUGAUGAGCGUUCUGAUGCAAUAGAAGCCAUAGAAGAAGAAGAGGGAGACAUGGGGGGUGGGUCAUUUCACGUGAAAUCAGACACUUUGGGGCCCAACCGACACAGAUUUUAAUCAAACUUUGUGUGCCUUCUUAGUGGUAAGGUAGAACCCCAGAACUGCAUUUGCAUGAAUCUGGCACUAAUAUAAGGGAGAAAUGGACUAAGAAUGUUUUAAGUAAGAGGGUAGGGCACUACACAUUCAACCUUGAUUAUGUCAAUUUAAAUUACAAAGAGAUGGUUUUGAUGCUGUUUGAAAGCUCUUUUCUGGAACACUUCAAUUUAUAUCAUUAUUAAUUCAUGUUUAAGUUUUAAUGACCAUACCGAUAGUGUACUUCAUGAAGUAAUUCUUAUCUAUUUAUGUCAACAGUGGAGAGAUAGACAAUAAAGGACAGCAACAACAGACAGACAGAACAACAACAGAGACAGACAAUGGAGGGCAGCAACAGACAGGCAAUGGAAGAAAGCAACAGACAACUGAGUGGGGAGCAACAGACAAAAAAUGAAGGACAGCAACAACAGACUCACAACAAACUUGACGAUGAAUAAAAUAUGUCUAAAUUAAAAGAUUUGAAGUGUGCUGGUGUAUUUAGGGGGCAUUGGAGUAGGGAGCCAAAUGAAGUCCACUUUCGGGGGGAAAAGAUCCCCCCCCACCACAAUGCUGGCU